rnacentral:rRNA from 1 species
UACGUAGGGUGCAAGCGUUAAUCGGAAUUACUGGGCGUAAAGCGUGCGCAGGCGGUUGUGCAAGACAGGUGUGAAAUCCCCGGGCUUAACCUGGGAACUGCACUUGUGACUGCACAGCUGGAGUACGGCAGAGGGGGAUGGAAUUCCGCGUGUAGCAGUGAAAUGCGUAGAUAUGCGGAGGAACACCAAUGGCGAAGGCAGUCCCCUGGGCCUGUACUGACGCUCAUGCACGAAAGCGUGGGGAGCAAACAGG